CCUACGGGAGGCUGCAGUGGGGAAUUUUGGACAAUGGGCGCAAGCCUGAACCAGCAAUGCCGCGUGCAGGAUGAAGGCCUUCGGGUUGUAAAGCUCUUUUACUGGGGAUGAUAAUGACAGUACCCAGAGAAUAAGCUCCGGCUAACUCCGUGCCAGCAGCCGCGGUAAUACGGAGGGAGCUAGCGUUGUUCGGAAUUACUGGGCGUAAAGCGCACGUAGGCGGCGAUUCAAGUCAGAGGUGAAAGCCCGGGGCUCAACCCCGGAACUGCCUUUGAAACUAGAUUGCUAGAAUCCUGGAGAGGCGAGUGGAAUUCCGAGUGUAGAGGUGAAAUUCGUAGAUAUUCGGAAGAACACCAGUGGCGAAGGCGGCCAACUGGCACAUUUCUGACGCUGAGGUGCGAAAGCGUGGGGAGCAAACAGGAUUAGAUACCCGUGUAGUC
rnacentral:rRNA from 1 species